rnacentral:lncRNA from 1 species
GAAGAAGAAAAAGAAGAAAGUAUUGUCACUGUUCAGCCUUUUCAAGAUGAGUCACCCAGCAGAUAUGCUGACUCUAGGUGACCUCUACCGGCAGCAUAUCCCCCAACAGAAGGAGACUCCCAGGCUUGGCAUUAAUACCUGCCAGGCACUGAGGACAUAAAAAUGAACAUGCCAUAACUUAGUCUUCAAGGUGUGCAGCUCAGCAAAGGAUGUGGAGAUACAGAGAAACAUCUCAGGUACAAGGGUCAGAGCUUCCAGAGUGGGAUCCUCAGUGUGAUGCAGCCCAGAGAAGGGGUCCUGGGAGAACAGUCCAAGUCUGAGGGGCUGAGGGAGGCUUAAAAAUCAAAGUGGCAUUGGAGUUGGGUCUGGAAAGAUGGCCAAGGCCAGGAAGGACAAGACUUGCAGAAUUAUGGAGAUGUAAG